CAGCGGGGGCCGGCCCCGGUGUCCCACAGGCCCUGAGGGACAAGGGACAGGCCCAGGGACAAAGCGGGGACAGGCCCGAGGUGCGGGGACAAAGGCGGGGACAGGCCCCAGGUGUGGGGACAAAGGCGGGACAGGCCCGAAGUGCGGGGACAAAGGCGGGGACAGGCCCCAGGUGUGGGGACAAAGGCGGGGACAGGCAACCCCUGCAGUUCGAGGGUGGUAGGAGGCCACAGGUCAGUCCCCGGGAGGGCCAGGCAGGAGGUGGGCCCAGCGGGGCUGAGAAAUGAGAGGCCGGUGCCCCUACGCUCACUGCAGGGGAUGUCAGAGGGCGAGUGGUUGCUCAGUCACACCCACACCCGUGUGUACAGGACCCACGCCUGCCCGCCUUGCCUGCCCGCCUUGCUGUGGUGCCUGUUCAUGGCUCACACGUGGGCUCGCACAGCUUCUCCCAUUAUUCAGGUGCUGCCGGGCCCUGCAGGGUUCAGAUCGUCCCUGUGCUGCUUGGCGGGGUCACCCUCACACCUGCCCUGGCGGCCCCACCUGCCCAGCUUCUCUCCCCUCAGUGCUGUCUGUCCCGGAGCCUCCCAUCAAUGGGACCAGAGUGCUCCUUGCUGGCUGCUGCUGCCUGUGCUCCACAAGAUGCCUGAGAGCCACCCAGGCACCGGACUUGCCAACACGCAGACACACACCUGGGCCGCAUGGCCCUGAGCACACACCUUGCCCAACCCUCCUCCGGGCCGCAGUGCGGGCGCCAGCUGCCACCUGCUGGCGAACUGCAGCAUCACGGCUCUCGCCCUCCGGAACCUUCCACAGCACCACACCAGCCUCUGGUCUGGCUGCAGAUGGCUUGGGCUGGGCAGGGAAGCAUCCGCUGUCAGGGAGCCUGGGACCACAGACUUUGCUCCAAGCGCCCGGGGCGGGUAGGGGCCAGGUCCAGUCUGAGGAGUCCUACCUCCCUGAGGUAGACAGAGCUGGGCAGACAUGGAGGAGACAUGGGGGCUGCAGCCCUGGCCCCACUGCCCGACUCUCCCUCUGCAUUUUGGGAGCCGGCAAGAUCCAAGGGGGUCCCCAAGGCCCUGAGGCUGCACCGAGCACCCCUUUCCUGCUAGUUUUCAGACGCAGCGAUGCCCUAGACACCCGGGGAGAGGUGACCCCCAGCAGGAAGCUGGGCCUGGUUUCUGUCCCUCCACAGCCACAAGGCCUGGCCAGGACGCCGGGAGCACCAGACCCUGGAGACUCAGCUCACCGAGGACUCGGGCGGGGGCUUCUCCCGGUGCCUGGGAAGCUGGGUUCCCACCCCCUGGACUCCCACCCAGACCUCAUCUCAAGCCAGCAAGAUAGGAAUGUGGAUGACAGGACUGCUGGCCACAGAGGAUCUGGUGUGGGCAGCCGUCAGGACGAGGGUAGUGUGGGCGGCCACGGCAGUUGGUGCUAUUGCUGGAAGGGGCCGAAGGUAAGGCCCUUCUGGGCUGUGAGUCCCUGA
rnacentral:lncRNA from 1 species